AUCCAGCUGACUAGUCCCAAAUAGGAAGAAACACACGUCCUGGAU
rfam:Schistosoma mansoni strain Puerto Rico chromosome 4, complete genome